UCAGAAAAGAUAGCAAAACACACAAGUAAUGAUUUUAGCUGUGAACAGGCGGGAGAAGCAGCUGCCCUGUAACGACGCACAGAAUUCACCUGUGAGCAGCUGAGGAACCGAAGAGAACCCCGAAACCCUGAGCAGGGGCAGUUUGCAGCGAAGUCUGAACCAGCUGGGAUGAGAAAUAGCAGCUCCAAGUCUGAGGCCAUGGUUCUCAGGUGGAAAAGAGUGGAGUGCCCACUCCAAAGGUUGGGAGUGAGUUACAGCUCCAAAUGCAGAGCAUGGAUGGUUUUUAAGGGCAGCAGCUCACAAAUAAUAUAGCUUGCUUUGUACAGAUUGCCCAAAAUGUAUCUUAGUUUGAUGUGAAUCUUAAUUUUGAAAUAUAAAUCUGUGUUUUGUUACUUUACCCACAAAGCUGUAACUGGCCAGCAUCUACUGCUGGCCAGAACACAACAGGCAUUUUUCAGAUUUUGAUUAAAGAUU